rnacentral:rRNA from 1 species
AUCAGUGGCGAACGGGUGAGUAACACGUGGGCAAUCUGCCCCUGACUUCGGGAUAACUCCUCGAAAGAGGUGCUAAUACCGAAUAUGAACCUUGCAGGCAUCUGCAGGGUUGGAAAGUUUUUCGGUCAGGGAUGGGUCCGCGGCCUAUCAGCUAGUUGGUGAGGUAAUGGCUCACCAAGGCGACGACGGGUAGCCGGCCUGAGAGGGCGACCGGCCACACUGGGACUGAGACACGGCCCAGACUCCUACGGGAGGCAGCAGUGGGGAAUAUUGCGCAAUGGGCGAAAGCCUGACGCAGCAACGCCGCGUGAGGGAUGAAGGCCUUCGGGUUGUAAACCUCUUUCAGCAGGGAAGAAGCGAAAGUGACGGUACCUGCAGAAGAAGCGCCGGCUAACUACGUGCCAGCAGCCGCGGUAAUACGUAGGGUGCAAGCGUUGUCCGGAUUUAUUGGGCGUAAAGAGCUCGUAGGCGG